rnacentral:lncRNA from 1 species
GUUGGUGUCAAGCAUGAUCGUGAGUCUUGAAUUGUGAAUUAUUGUAUUCUUAAUUAAUACUACGGAUGUUUAAAUUGAUGAUUCUCCGUAUUGAGCAAGGGUUUAGAUGGUUCUCGUGAAAAUUACUUAUGAUUGAGUAUUGGUAUUAGCUGAGGUAUUUAGUGUUGAAACAAGAUUGGUUAUAGUUGUUUCUCCCUUGCGGGGAUGUAUUUACUUAUACUUUCGAUUCUCUUACCGGGAUAGUGUAGUUUUUUAUUGAUCCCUUGCUGGUACUCUUGUUAUGAUUGUUAUUGAAUGUACAUUUGGAUCGGGUUGCACGCGGCAACAAUAAUAUAAAUAGAUCGGGUUGCACGCCGCAAUAAUGAUAUAAAUGGAUCAAGUUGCACGUCAUAAUAAUAAUAAUAUAAAUGGAUCGGGUUGCAUGCCGCAACAAUGAUAUAAAUAGAUUAGGUUGCAGCCGCAAUAAUGAUAUAAAUAGACCGGGUUGCACGCCGCAACAAUGAUACAAAAGGAUCGCGUUGCACGCUGCAACAGUGAUAUAAAUGAAUCGAGUUGCACGCUGCAAACAGUGAUAUAAAUGGAUCAGGUUGCACGCCGCAACAGUGAUACAGUUAAAUCGGGUUGUACGUUGCAAUAAUGAUAAAUGAUAGGGAUCGGGUUGUGCGUCGCAACAAUAUUAUUAUUGUUUUGAUGUAGAUUUUAAAUUGUUCUCUUAUAUUUAUCUUAAAUUACUGUUGGAAUUGAUAUUCCCUCGCAGCAUGUAUCCCCUCCCAUCUUUAUUUGUUUAUCCCUUUUUUAUUUUUGUUGUAUAUUAUAUAACUGCACAGAUUUAUCGGGAGUUUGGUCCUAGACUCGUUAUUACUUUGCCGGGGUUAGGCCAAGCACUUACCAGCACAUGAGGUCGGUUGUGCUGAUAUUACAUUUUGCACUAUGUGCAGAUCCCCGAGCAGCUUUUGGGCAGUAGCAUUAAGGGCGGCUACCUUCAGUACAGCUAGAGAUCUUGAGGUAGUCCUACAUGCGUCCGCAGGCUCGACGUUCUCUCCUAUCUUAUUAUGUAUUCUGUUUUAAGUUGUUCCAAGAUAGAUUGUAUUUUCUUUUCAGACAAUUGCUUAUAGCAUUCAUAAAUCCGUGAUAUUGUAAUGCCAGAUUCCGAAUAAAUAUAGCUCAUAUGUACUAAUAUAUUUUUUUCCGAGCUAUACAUCAAUAAUGAAAUUUUCCUUAUAACAAACCAUCUCUUUUUUUACUAGUAAUAGGGACAGCAAACCUAGAUGAGAAAUUGCACAAAAGCCCAUCUUCUUCAACACGAGCUCCAUCAUCAAAAUUCAAAGCAUAGCUUUGAGCAUCAUAUUGAAAUUGGGUUUUAUUUGAUUUCUUCAAAUUGCAGUGUAUUCCAAUUUUCUUUACCAAAUUCUUCAUAAUCUUGAUCUUUAUUACUAGCCAUGACUCUUUUUGCUCAAGCAAAGACCUGCUGUGAACUUCAUGGGCUUGGGCCCAAUUGAAACAAGAAAACUUUAAACAAUCAUACGGCGCGCAACCAGUUGGAGAAGAUGAUGAAUAGUCUUCAUAGAUAUUGCCAUUUUUGUAGCCUUCUUGUUUGUGCUCAGACAUGGGAGUAUAACUAUUCAUGCUAUCGGAUGGAUAGGAUUCUUGACCUAACGAGAGGUUUUGGUUUCGCACCCUAAUUAUUAAAAAAUUCUGUUAGAAAGCGCUUUUCUUAUAGGAUUGUUGGCUUUUAACGACAGGUCUUGAUUUUAAACUCCGGUUAUAAAAAAACACCGUUAGAAAUCACUUUCCUAUAGGAUUCUUGAUUUUUAACGAAAAGUAUAGGUUUUGAACCCUGAUUAUGAAUUCUUUUUUGGUAAAAGACACUUUUGCUAUAAUAAACCUUAUGCAGUCCAAAUAUGGAUUAGACCUAAAGCGGAUAACGAACACCGAAUGAAAAAUGAGAAUAAUAUGUAUGUGUAUGUGGGGAGGAAAAGGAUGAGAAGUGGAGAAUGAAUGGGUGUUUACUUAUAAUGUAAGAGUAUUUGUUAGUGCGUGUGCAAUGUGUGUGUGAAAGGGAAAGGGGAGUGAGAAGAGGGCAAGUGGCUGCAUAAAGGAAGAUUUGAGAAAUUAAUAAACCAAUAAGAAGGUUCUUGUGUUUAUAUAAGCAAAAUUUAACAGGAAAAGGAUUGUUGUUUCCUUAUCCACAUAAAUAAAGGAAAGGUGUAUUAAUAUAAACGAGUAGUACAAUGGAAGGUUCCUUUUAAAAAAAACAUAAUUAAUAUCUUUCCAAGGGUGUAGAUUUAAAGUUAAUAUAAAUAAGAAGUAAAACGAAGCUUACUUUAAAAAAAAAGAAUUAAUGUGUUAUAUAUCAUAGCAAAUUUAAUAUGCAAAAAAAUAGAUAUUUUUAUAUCAACAUAAAUAAAGAAAACGGGGUGUAGGUUAAAGAUUAAUGUACAAAUAGUCAAAAUAUAAGGACCUAUUUAGUUUUUUAACUUUAGAAUUAUUUAGUAUUCAUAAGUGAGAACUCAUUGAUGCGACUAAUUCAAUUUUGUGCCCAUUUCAAGAGUAAGGAUGCCAAUCAAAAAUUAUUUCAUUUUAAGAGUUCAAACUUGAAAUUUUUAAUUAAAUAUUAUGUCUUCUCCCGGCCGCCAAAAAUAACUUAUCCGUUAGGUAUAGUAAUUCCCACUAGUCUUCGAAGUAAAGACGGAUUGAAAGAGUGUGUUGUGACUCUGAAUGUCGCGUCUACAACGUGUGGAAUGAUAAGUGUGUGCAUUUAGCAUUCCAUAAAACAUGCUUUAUUGCUUUGUUGGAUCCACUUGAUUUAAAAUUAAAUUUAGGAAUUUUUACUUAUUUAUAUCAUAUAUGAAACUUUAUUAUUUUUAAUGUUUAAAUUUUGUGUUAAUUACAUGGUAGUAUAUCAAAUUAUCAUUUAUAUACUAUAAUUCAAAUUAAGGAUAUAAUGCAUUUAUAUUAGACAUAAUUAUAGGACCAUAUCUUCCCACUUCUCCCACCCCCCUCCCUCCCCCCUACGUUUUACCUUUACCCGUAACCCACUCCCCUCUACGUUUCUAUUUUGAAUUCCACCAUUGACCCCAAUUAAAAAACUUUGAAACUUUGAAUUCAAAUUGGAGUUUUCAAAAAAUAUUAUUUGUUUUGGAUUGAGUGUUGUUGUAAAUAAUUCGGAAUAUAUUUAGGAGUUUAUAUCUCAAUUUUGAGGGGGUGAAGAUUUAGACUUGGUUUUGGAUGAAUUUGAGAUUGAAACUCGAAGAAGAAGAAGAAGAAGAAGAAGAAGAAGAAGAAGAAGAAGAAGAAGAAGAAGAAGAAGAAGAGGAAGAAGAAGAAGAAGAAGAAGAAGAAGAAGAAGAAGAAGAAGAAGAAGAAGAAGAAGAAGAAGAAGAAGAAGAAGAAGAAGAAGAACACAUAUUUCCCGAAUUUGUAGAUAAAUUGUAGUCAAAUUAGAAAAAUUAUAGAUAAAAUGUAGAUUCUUUUUUGCAGAAGGUUUUGUAGAAGCUUUAGUCGUUUUGGAUUGGUGAAACAGAAAAUAAUGCAUCUACAAUUAGAAUACAAAUAAUCUAUAAUUUAUCUACAAGAUAUCUACAAACUUGAUACAUUGAAUUUUAGUAUCUCAAUUUCCAUUUCAAUUGUAGUAUAAUUGACAUUUUCGACAUAACUAUAGAAGAUUGUAGAAGUUUUAGUUUUCCCAAUCUACAAUUUCUAGAAAUAUAUCUUCUUCUUCUUCGAGUUUCAAUCUGAAAUUCAGUUAAAACCAAGUCUAAUCUUCACCAAAACCCCUCAAAAUUGAGAUAUGAACUCCAAAUUAUAUUCUCGAUUAUUUUCAAUAACACCCAAUCCAAACAAAUAAUGAUUUUUGAAAAUCCAAAUUUGAAUUCAAAGCGUUCAAGCUUUUUAAUGGCUAUCAAUGGUGGAAAAUAUAUGAAAGAACGGAUGAAGAUGAAGAUGAAGAACAGAAAUCUCCUUUCAGUUCAAAAAUUAUGCAGCUUCCAGAUCUCCUUUCCGUUUCAGAUUUCGAAUUUAAUGUGGAAUAAAUCAAUCCUAGAUUUUGUGGCACUUUUCGUGCGCUAUAAAUGACAGAUUCUACCAAAUUAACAAUUGGUAUAUAAAUUGUAGUUAAACUGUGGACUGGACGGGUAAUAUACAAACUAUGCACAUUUUUAAUAAUAAGGUUUCAUAUAUAGUAUAGGUAGAAAAAAAAUUCUAAAUUUUAUAAUAAGGACAAAAAAAAAAAUGAAAAGACAUAUAAAAAACUUCUAUCAAUACUCAUUUAAAAGAAAUAAGUUGGUACUAAAAGUCUUCUUUAAUAUUUUAAUUUUUAUAAAAUGGAUUGAGAUUAUUAGUACUAUUUUUGUCUUAGGCACAAAGGUAAAGACCAUCCUGGUUUUACCUUAAGAUGAAGUCAUGCUAGUCUUGGAUAUUUGGCUAGCAAAUAUUUUUUCUCUUUUUUUUUCCUUCUCAAUUUCUUCCUUUUUUGUAUGGUGGGACACAAAAUAAUAUUUGUGAUCUUACCAACCAAAAAGUAAGAGUCAUACUCAUACGCAAGUGAUAUUCUUAUCCAAUAACAGAAUCAACUAUUGUCUUAGUAUAUUUUAAACUAACAAAAUCAAAUUCAACUCUCACUAUACCAUUGAAUCAAGAGCUCCAUCUAUUGACCUAGUACUAGUGUUUUGGAAUAAUAAAAGAAGAGAGUAGGAAUUAUUCGAAUACAUUAUUUAGCUGAAUCUGUCUGCAGCAGUGCAUAAUCUCGUGAUUUCUAUCCCCACAAACGAUGUGUCAAAUUAUUUGGCCAAAAAAUAUUCAAAUAUUUUUGGUUAAAUUAAUCAAUAAAGAUGAAGAGGUAAAUCUAAGCUGAAUAUAAUAAAAUAUAGAUUAAAUAAUGUAAGAAAAGAACAAGAUGAACAUUGCUUCCUUACAUGUCGAAAAUAAAUGAUUACUCAUAAAUAUGAUAGCUCCAAAUGCAAAAAGAUGUUGUAAUGAAUACGAUUGACCAAAAUAAGAUGAUGUAAGGAUUUCAUAUCUGUAUUUAGUAAGCAAAGUUAUCUUUUUUCUAUUCACUUUCUUCACUCAUUUUACAUAGCGUUUUCCCCCUAUUUAUAAGGAACAAUCCCCUUUCAAACCCUAAAAAGGUACAAACAAAGAAUAUUCAAAAAUCAUAUUUCUACUUUCUCUUACCAUGCUAACACUACUGUAGAUCGACAGUCGUCAUACAUCGCUUAACCACUGUUGGUCGUCACCCUUUAUAACGACCAAAAGAUGUUAUAUCAUAAGGACCUCGUUCCUUGCUGCAGCCAGCCAUGCUCGUGGUCGUUCAAAUUUGGACUUAUACAUGGACCAAACUAAAGUAGUACUAGCAGAAAGAACAACCACAAACUGAACUACUGCCACUCUAGCAUUUACUAAAGCUAGCUAUAGAGUACGACCUAAAAUCUUCUUUUUUAAAUAACCAUGGUGUCCGCCUGUCCGGACCAGCUAGCGCAACCUACAAUCUCUGGAAAUUGAAAAGGAUUCAACAGAGGUCGUAAGCUUAGCGAGCUCAGAUAGUGAUGCUUACAUUUCUAUAAUGCAAAAAGGCGCGAGGGGNNNNNNNNNNNNNNNNNNNNNNNNNNNNNNNNNNNNNNNNNNNNNNNNNNNNNNNNNNNNNNNNNNNNNNNNNNNNNNNNNNNNNNNNNNNNNNNNNNNNNNNNNNNNNNNNNNNNNNNNNNNNNNUAUCCAGCAUAGCUUUCGCGGGUGCACAUACAUCCAAUGUCUCAAACUUGGACUGUAUAUCGUAUAUAUACUUUAAGAUAUCAGAUAUUUUUAAUACAAAAGUUAUGUAUAUCAGUGUUACCGAAGGCGAAAGACGUACAAAAACUCUAAGGUCUAUUGGCGCUUUAAACGCAAAGCGUAAAUAAAACGUGUGCUUUAAUGAAGAAAGGCGUAAAUAAAGAAAAAUAACAAAUAUACAUGCGUAGUUCAAGACCAAUACCUAUAAGCAUGAAUACCAAAUAUAUGGAUAAAGAAAUUGAAGAAAUAUGAUAACGUGAAAUAUCAAUUGUUUAGUGUCGUCUCUUUAGGAUUAUUGGGAAGAGAAAGUAUGCCUUGAGCCUUGAUGACAAUACUGGAGCGCUCAUUAAGUCAAACGAAGCGCUUAACAUGUUUUGAGCAUUGUUUCAGACUGCUACAAUUAAUUAUUUAUAAGGUUCUAUUACUAAGAACAAUAGGUUCCAGUUUAUGUAAUUUUUGUUGUACAAUGUAUUAUAGGUUUUGCAAUUUCGGAUGCUAUUAUUGCUCAUUUUGUAAAUAGAACUGGUUGCAGAUUACAAAUAGAUUGUCCAAAUAUCUAUUUUCAUUGUCUCAUGACCAAAUAGUGUACCCUUUACAAGAAUGAAACUUAUUCUGUUAUCCAUUUAAGUGGAAGUUGCUUUCAUAUCUUAACUUUAGUUUUUUAGAUUAUAACACGAUAGUAGAUUUCUUGUGCUAUACCUUUUCGCCGUUGGGACUGGACACAAUAAGAUCUCGUAUAUGGUGACACCAAAUUGAAUAAAUACCAAUAGACUGACUAACUUAUUUUACGAAUGUAGAUAGUAAUUAAUGCUUUCACGGUUUUUACUUAUCUUGUGUUGUUUACAAUAAAGGGCGAAUGCGACGCCUUUAGCCAAAAAAUUAUAGUGUUUUCUGAUUUUGAAUGUAGUAUAUAGCCGUUACUUUGAUUCAAACUCUAUAUUUUUUCUAAAAGAAGCAAUUAAGAAUGUACAAAUUAUUAUUCAGACAUAAUAGUUUAAUAAGAAUAAAAAUCUAAACCCAUUAACUUUAAACCUUGGGUCUGCCUCUUAUUGGAGCUAUCAUCCUUAGCUCAUACUGAUACUUAAACUUUUUCGAGCUAUACAUCAAUAAUAAAAAUUUUCAUAUAACAAACCAUCUCUUUUUUUUACUAGUAAUAGGGACUAGUGGUAUUAAUGGAUAUUUAAAAAUCAGUUAAAUCGACCAAAUUGUACUGAACUGAACCGAUUUUUAGGUUUCUUUUAAUAAAACUGUAGGUUUUUAUAUAAAUCUAUAACAUUACUAAUAAUCAGGGUAUGUUUUUUAUUAUAUGAAAAUAAAUCGAAAAAAAUCGAACCAUACCGAAUAAACUUACAUGUGAAAAAUAUAUUUAUAUUUUAAGUUUAAAAUAAUCAAAUAUUAAACUUUCCUUGUGGCUUAGAAUUAUGAAAGCAAUUACAAGCCAAAAGUAAUAAAAUCAAAAUCAUAAUUCCCAAACCUAUUAUGCUAUUGAAAUGGUACUGGCACUUCGUCAAACCUUCCAUGAGCAGCAGAUUCAAUAGCAAUUGCAGCUCCAAUUGAAACAAAAUUAUUUUCAGCAUAUUCACUUAGCAAGACAUAAGAUAUUUGUAGCGAUUAUGAGUAGCAAACUAUAAUGCAUUGAUUAUGUUUUUUUUCGUAUUAUUUAGGUUUAUCUUUUUGAAUAUUUAAUCUUUUAUAAACUUUAUUCUUGAAUCUCAGUCUCAUAUUGAUUAAUAUCUUUCCACAUGAUUUAUACUUUGAGUAUAUUAAUUUGUUUAAUUUCUUUUCCGUCGUUAUAGAGUAGUUGGUGAAUCUAUACUCUAGCCAUUUUUCAUAUUUUCUUAAUUCGUCACCCUUUAAAACGUAAAAAUGUUUAGAGAGUUUAUUUGCUAAGUCUUAUAAAAGUACGUAUGCUAUUCGAUUCUACUUCUACUAGUGAUUUUUAUAUGAGAUAUAAUAAAAUACUGAAAAUUAAUCGAAUCGUACCGAUAUCGAAAAGAAACCAAUAUGAUUGGACGGUUUUGAAAAAUCUAAUUUUAAUUAUAUAUAAUUCAAAAAAUUAAUAUGAUACAAAAUUUACAAAAUAAUCAUCGGAACUGAACCAUUGGCACCUCUAAUAGGGACAGCGAACCUAGAUGAGAAAUUACACAAAAGCCCAUCUUCUUCAACACGGGCUCCAUCAUCAAAAUUCAAAGCAUAACUUUGAGCAUCAUAUUGAAAUUGGGUUUUAUUUGAUUUCUUCAAAUUGCAGU